GAUGAACGCUGGCGGCGUGCCUAAUCCAUGCAAGUCGAGCGAACAGACGAGGAGCUUGCUCCUCUGACGUUAGCGGCGGACGGGGGGGUAACACGUGUAUACCGUCCUUCUUAGACAGGGAAAACUUCGGGAAACCGCAGAUAAUACCGGACAAUAUAUUGAACCGCAUGGUUCAAUAGCGAAAGACGGUUUUGCUGUCACUUAUAGAUGGAUCCGCGCCGAAUUAGCUAGUUGGUACGGUAACGGCUUACCAAGGCAACGAUGCGUAGCCGACCUAGGAGGGUGAUCGGCCACAGUAGAACUGAGACCCGGUCGAAGCUCAUAGGGGAGGCAGAAGUAGGGAGUCAUCCGCAAUGGGCGAAGGCUUGCCGGAGCAACGCCGCGUAGGGGACGAAGGUUCUCGGAUCGUGAAGCUCUGGUACUGGGGAAGAGCAAAUGGGUAAGUAACUAUGCACGUCUUGACGGUACCUAAGCAGAGAGCAACGGCUAACUACGUG
rnacentral:rRNA from 1 species